GUGAAUCAUCAAAUCUUUGAACGCAAAUUGCACUCUCUGGUAACACGGGGAGUAUGCCUGUUUGAGGGUAAGUGUUAAUAAAAAUCGGUGCGUUGCAAUUUUUGUGAUGUUCCGGAGUUUGAGUUAUCUUAACUUCCUUCUGGGUUUUAAGAGGAUUAAAAUUGACCUUUUUUGUGCAUUUUUAGACGUACAUAAAUUUUUUUUAUUCGUUUAUUGUAAUGUCAAAAUCUAUUAGAUGCGACCAUAUAGUGUGGUUCGGUGUCUAGAAAUUUUUCAUGAUUUGACCUUAAAUCAGGUAGGA
rnacentral:misc_RNA from 1 species